ensembl:lncRNA
CAUCUCAUCAAAUCUUUUUUUCUGGUUUUUUUUUUACCUUUCAACCCCCUUCACCCAUGUCUCCCCAUCAAAUCUUAAUUCUACCAUCUAGCGUAUAGCCUCUGCCUCCUUCCUCAGCUUUGUCACCCACAGAUUGAUAAAUACCCUUCGUGAUCCAAAUCAUCAACACAAGUGUUGACCAGCAGAAAUCUCGGCACCUGCCCUCCCAGUGAGCCAGAAGACUCUGCAUGUGGCUUCUCAACAUAGUGACACCCACAUCUCUCCAUUUUGCCCACAGAUCCUAAGAACAGGUGAAGCCUCGCCAAAUGUGGCCACACGACACCUGUGGCCUUUCAUGGGCCUCCUGAGCAUUUCUGCAGGUGAUCUCCAGCACCUCAACCAGCUUGAAAAUUUCUGUGACCUAGUGCUUCAAAAGAAGCGUGAGAGUGACAAAACAGGUGGAAGAUAACAUGACGACUGCUCAGGUCUGGAGAGUAGAUGCAGAUAAUCCACGUAACUGUGGGCAUGUCGUAAGCACUCAGUGAAUAACUUUGUAUUUUCAUCGGUCAUCCAGGUCAGUGCUCCGUCACUGACAAUGCAGAUCAAAGGCAGGAGAAGGUGGUUGUCUUCCCGACAAUGUUUGGAAAGAAAACUCCUUAGUCAGCAGCCCUGGAAAGCUUCACAUUUAGAGAAAUCUAGACUCUUCUUUCCCACCCCAAGUUUCUUUGGUUUUGCGGCUGGAACCUAACAUCUGUGAAGCAGGCAGGACCUCAUGGGCCCUGUGUCACCAGACACCUGUUGACAGGAUGCCUUCAGGGGUAGAAAAUCUGGGCAGAGCCCAGCAGUGACAACUGGUAUUUAUCCAAUAUCAGCUUCCACCCACCGGGAGAUGGAUGGGCAACUGGCCCCAAGAGAGGAGCAAAGAUGAGAACCGGCCAUCCGUCCUAGCUCGGAUGCUGGUGGGGACACACCAGGAAUCCCUUUCCCGAAUGACUGACAGGAGAGCCAAAGGUGCUUGUAGACAUGACGAUUUUCCCAGCUUAAGUGGAGCGUCUGCCACCGUGGUACCUCCAUGGGGCUGACCUCUGAGGAAAGGGUCCUUCCAGGCACUUCCAUAAAAGGCGACACUUGUCAGUGUGCCCAACUUUCAGUUACCUUGUGGUGUGCUUCUGAAGGAUUGCAAAAGAAGGGGAAGAGCCAUUAUUUUAAAUAAUCAUUUCAACAUGGAGCUUGGUGGGGAACAAAGAACGUACUUGGAGUUGCAGCUCGUGGGCCCUGGUGGCGCUUGGCUUUCCUCGUAGCUGCCCCCAAGCAUCACCAACCCACCACAGAGGAAGCCUGAGCCCUCGAGGGCCACAGACGACGUGGCUUGAACAUCGUUCCUAGGGGAGAAACAGGAAAGAGGCAACCAGAGUUUGAAUCCCGGCACUGCCACCUCAUAAGUGUGAGACUAUGAACCAGGCUGUAAGACGGGAUAGGAGUUAACGAAAAAGACACCAAAACAGGCUUCUUAGGAGAAUUAAAGAGAGAACUUGUGUUAAACACUUAGUGUGACAUUUGGAAAUACUAAAUGCUCGAGGGAGAAGAAGAAGCGAGGAGAGACACACAGAGAAGGGAAUGUGAAGAUGGAGGCAGAGAUUGGAGAGGUGUGUCUGCCGGUCAAGGAAUGCAAGGAUUGCCGGCAACCGCCAGAAGCUAGGAGAAAGGCACAGGGCAGUUUCUCCCUCAGAGACUCCAGGAGGAGCCAACCCCGCUGGCACUCUGAGUUUAUCCUCCGGCCUCCAGAACUGUGAGAGCAAGAACUUCUGUUGUUUUAAGCCCCCCAGGUCGUGGCAAUUUGUUACUCAGCCCUAGGAAACUAAUAUGGAUAAUAACACGUGACCAAGGUCACAUGGCUCCUCUGUCAUGAAGACGGGGUUUCCAUCUACCAAUCCAGCACUUGUUCCACU